UAAAAAUGGUCCAGAAAUCCGCAGUGAACGUCUACACAAUCACUUCAGGGGAGACAUUUGGCGCUGAUGAAGAACUGCUGAGGGAACUGAAGAAGAGGAUACAGCUGAAUAUUAUACACUACCCGGAAAGCUGCAUCAUCAUUGUUUUUUGUCCUAUCAUCUCUCGUGUUGGGUCAGAUGUAGAAGCAGCUAUGAGUCUGGUGACAGCACAAAAUCAAAAAGUUAUUCUGGUUAUGAUGCACCACACCCGAGACGAAAGCUACUCCACAGCUGGGAUGGACUGGUCAAAAAGGUUUCCAAAUGUGAUCUUGAGUGUUCACGUCCUAUUCCAUGAGACCAUGCCAGGGUUACUGCCAUGUACAGAAAACAAGAUGGCGGUGAACAAAAUUAUAAAGGUGUUGCAUUACAACAGCGAAAAUAGCUGGAGAAGAAGGUUCCUUAAAAUUGGUGGAGGAUUAAUAGCAACAUAUUUUAUUUAUUUGUUAAUAAGGCAGAUGAUGACCUUAUAUUAAACUCAUAACUCUGCAAGCUUUGGUGAAUUUGUGGUGCAUACUUUUACUGAAUUCAUAUAAACACUUUCCUGUCAUGUAUUGUCAAAAUGCUUCGAACACAAACUAGCCAUUAUUAUUAAUAACUUUGACCCUUUAUGUCAGAAAAGUCAGGGGUCACAUACCAUGUUUACGCUCACAUCAUGCAGCUGAGAUUAACAAAAUUCUAAAGGUGUUGCAUUACAACAGCGAAAUUAGCUGGAGAAGAAGUUUCCUGAAAAUCGGUGUAGGAUUAAUAAUAACAUCCUUGGUUCUUGUUUUUUUUUAUAAAAAAAAUAACUCUUUCUUUUUCUCAAAAAAGGAAAACUUCUAAUUUGAACAAGGGUCCAGGUCAGUUGGCCCCAUCAAGAAUAUUUAUGACCUUCUGAUAACUGUACUUUGCAUUAUCCUUUAUGCUGAUACCUUUAAUUCAAUUUCCUAUUAUAUGAAUACCAUGUACUACACUCUUUACUUGUUCAUACUUUCAUAUGGGCCAGUGUACAGACAAAAUAAGGCAAAUGAUGACCUUAUAUUAAACUCAUAACUCUGCAGAAGCUUUGGUGAAUUUGUGGUGCAUACUUUUAUUGAAAUCAUAUAAACACUUUCCUGUCAUGUAUUGUUAAAAAGCUUCCAACACAGACUAGCCAUUAUUUAUAACUUUGACCCUUUAUGUCAGAAAAGUCAUGGGUCACAUAAUAUGUUUACUCUCACAUCAUGGAGCUGAGAUUG